rnacentral:rRNA from 1 species
GCUUCUCUUGAGAGCGGCGGACGGGUGAGUAAUGCCUAGGAAUCUGCCUGGUAGUGGGGGAUAACGUUCGGAAACGGACGCUAAUACCGCAUACGUCCUACGGGAGAAAGCAGGGGACCUUCGGGCCUUGCGCUAUCAGAUGAGCCUAGGUCGGAUUAGCUAGUUGGUGAGGUAAUGGCUCACCAAGGCGACGAUCCGUAACUGGUCUGAGAGGAUGAUCAGUCACACUGGAACUGAGACACGGUCCAGACUCCUACGGGAGGCAGCAGUGGGGAAUAUUGGACAAUGGGCGAAAGCCUGAUCCAGCCAUGCCGCGUGUGUGAAGAAGGUCUUCGGAUUGUAAAGCACUUUAAGUUGGGAGGAAGGGUUGUAGAUUAAUACUCUGCAAUUUUGAACGUUACCGACAGAAUAAGCACCGGCUAACUCUGUGCCAGCAGCCGCGGUAAUACAGAGGGUGCAAGCGUUAAUCGGAAUUACUGGGCGUAAAGCGCGCGUAGGUGGUUUGUUAAGUUGGAUGUGAAAUCCCCGGGCUCAACCUGGGAACUGCAUUCAAAACUGACUGACUAGAGUAUGGUAGAGGGUGGUGGAAUUUCCUGUGUAGCGGUGAAAUGCGUAGAUAUAGGAAGGAACACCAGUGGCGAAGGCGACCACCUGGACUAAUACUGACACUGAGGUGCGAAAGCGUGGGGAGCAAACAGGAUUAGAUACCCUGGUAGUCCACGCCGUAAACGAUGUCAACUAGCCGUUGGAAGCCUUGAGCUUUUAGUGGCGCAGCUAACGCAUUAAGUUGACCGCCUGGGGAGUACGGCCGCAAGGUUAAAACUCAAAUGAAUUGA